GUGAUGACGACAUGACACAAAAUUUGGCAUGAAAGUGAAGGAAACAAAAUGGGUGAUUCAACUGACUUCUGCACACAGAGUCUCAUGGUAAAAGCCAAGUCGGACUCCAAAACAAGAUCCAGGUGGUCAACAAGGUGGUAUAACUCCACAACGCUGAUGGCAUGGAAAGUCAUGCAAAUGUGUCAAUUGCAAGAACAGCCAACAACUGAAACGCAACCUUUGGAAAAUGACCAAGCCUUUCAUUUUGUCAACUUCUCUCACCAUGUCAACUGUCUAAGAUGGCUAAAACCAUCAACAUCAUAUGCCCUGAAAGGCAGAUCAACACACUGUGAAAGCCAAAAUUGAUGCACGAGCACUUGCCAACAUGUUACUAAUAUACAUCCUUAAAGACAUGUACCUCAACAAAUGGCACUUCAUGACACAGCCAACGAAAGACCGUCUCAUUGUGUAUAACAGAUGCAGUGGCACAAUUGUACAGCAGUACCAAUAUGAAAGCUCAGCUUGAACUGCAAAAUAUUUGGAAAUCUACCUGGUAGAUACUGAUGGUCCACCUGUGGCAGAGCUACCAGUCUGCUCAGAGCUCAACACUGUAACCAGAUAUGAAAUUCAAACCACACCCACUGUGGUGGGAAUGAAAGAGCCUUAGGAUUUUCCUCUUCCAAUACAGAGAGGAAUGAAAGACAGAUGACCAGCAAGCUGGAGAGAAUGACCACAACUUCACAACAGACAGAGGGCAUUUGUGAGAAAUCCAGUCACACAUAUCUGGAUUCCAGCAGGGAUUUCUAGAAGAUCCAACCAGAUUUACAAGAGAGAACACCAUUAAUUUUGAACAUGGAAGAAAAUGUGAGAAUGCAAAUCUCUCACUUGCCUUAAUCAAACAAUGAAAGUUUGAGGAAUUCACAGCAGGCCUCAAGAUACACGGGUUAGCAGACAGCAUUUGAUAAAGUCCUUCAUAACAGACUGUCAGCUCAAGUUAAAGCUCAUGGAAUUGAAGACCAUUAAGGACAAAUUAUUGACCCUGUUCGGAACUUGACUGCAACAAGAGAUAGAGUAAUUUGCAGAUGUGACUGACGUUGGACUACGAAUGUCUGUAAUGGGGCCUCAAUGUAUGGAAUCUUUAGUAAUUGAGCUAUCUUAUCGAUCUAAAGAAGAAACUAUAGAAAGGAACUGAACGCAAAUACUGAAGGUAAGUUUACAACAUGUCCGCAUCAUUCAAUAUAAGAGUUAGGCAGAAUGAAAAAGGAGCCCCUAAAACCAAAAUAUAACCCCUGAAAAUCAAGAUGUAGCUCUCAUGAAAAUUUCAGAAGCAGCCCUCAGAACUGCAAGACCCCUAAUUCACAUCUAGUCUGUAGAUAUAGGUCUGGGCCCACUUCCAAAUGAGUAAGGGAAUUGAUUAAAAACCCGACCCGGAUUUUUAUAUCAGCAAGUUUGGAAUCAUUUUCUUAAUUGAUUGAGACAAGUUCUGCUUUUAUUUAUCAUUAGAUUUAUCUGUUAAAUUGUAUGCUGAGAAUAAGCAUCAUAUACUGCCACCAAUACCUUCUUUGUGCAAGUUUCUCCAGGGCCAGUGUGGUCCACUGAAUGGAUUAGAAUAGGCAACCUAUUGUUUAAUUGGAAGAGUCUCUGAUAGUGAACAAGAUAUAGUUUAUUGCAUCUCUGCAACAAUUUUCAUGUUACACAGAUAUGGCAUGGAUCAUUACAAUGAUUGUUAGAGAACCUAGUCUUAGAUCUGACUCUCUCAAGAUCUGUACUGACUCUCCCCACUGAUCCUCAUCACAUCACAACAGUGGAUAGUAUUUAUGGCACUCAAUCAGAAUGAAUUCUUUGAGAGUCAUAUGCAACACACAUGAUAUCUGACAUCUAAACCAAUUUCACUGAUAGCGAAAGGCUGUACAUCUUAAAGUAGUAUUGGGAAUUUAGAUAGGUAUAGCUUUUAGACUGCAAGUAAAUGCUGGGUCCCUCUUUAUAUCAGGGAAAACCAAACCUAGGUCCUAACUGCAUGAACACAGUUAGAGAAAAUCAUUCAUUCAUAGAUCUCAAAGAAAAAUUAAAUCUGCAAAUUAGGCAGUCCCUUUGGACUACCAGCUAAUAUUUCUAAUAUCGUGGUGGCUUACAUUUUAAACAACAGCAAAGAAAUCAACAAAUGGUCAUAAGAAAACAAUCAAGAACGAUAGUUUGUCCUGAUUUCAACAGCAAUAAUUAUAAUGAAACACAGCUUUGGCAGAAAAUUUCAGUCAUCGAGAACUUUCACUUCUAUAUUGCUGUGGAGAAUUUCUAUCUUGUUAUAAAUUGGAAAAUUGAAUAUUUUAAAAUGAAAGUGGACAUCCUUUAUUCAGAUUUCAUUUAAUCUCUAGGGCUAUUCUUUCACUGGCCUCUCAAUCAGGAUCCUCAGUGUACUCUGCUUCUCCAUUGGUAUCCUGAUUCUAGUCAUUGCUCUCUCACACCUCUAGUCUCUCGGCCCAUCAUCCACUGGCUUCUGGCUAAUCACCUAAUCCUGUGUUAGGUCCUGCAUCCACCUCUUCUCCCUCAUCGUAUGAAUAGGGAGAACUUCUUCUCCCUAUUCAUUAUUAAUGGUCAUCAUUAUUCCGCUGUUCUAUUUUGUUCCCUUUUCUAUUUGGUAUCGAUAACCUUCUCAUCAAUCUCUAAAACUGUCACAAACCAAAUUCUUCCAUAACUUGCGUCAUGUGUCAUUUCCAUGUUAGUGUUAACUGUGCCUCAGACACAAACUUCUUUCUCCCACUUAUUCCUAUUCAGCCAUUCCUAGUCCAUGCUCUUCUCCCUCUUUAUCCUUCCACCCGAUCAUGGCCCUAGCCCAGCAGCAAACCCUCUUCAAUUAUUCUUCCCAUCUGUUACUACUCCAGUCUACCUUCUCUCCGCCACUGCAUACUCACCAAAAAAAUCACUUGUUUAUUUCUGCUUUUGCUCAAUGACUCAUUAAGCAUAAUACUCAAAGGAGUUAGGGGAUAAUAUUCCCAGCAUAUUAUUCAUUAUUAAUGCUUCCAGAACUGACAAUGGAGAAUGCCAAGAAAUACGAACAUAUAGGAAGAAUGGCUGAAAAUACUCUAACUACAGUGUAUCAAUUGUAUUUGGCCACAUUAUAGAAACUCUUUAGGAAUGCUUUUCUAAAGGAAGUAAGUUAAUCAUUAUCCGAGAAGAUGGGACACAAUAGUCUCCUUCUGCAUCAUAGUUCUACAGGGACUAAGAAAUGGGCACAAUAUUACUUCACCAAUAACGUUAUUGAUUGAAUAUGAUAAAAUGACAUUAGUUAUUCCAAGUUUUAUCGUGUAUGAAAUUUCAAAACAAUUAAAAAGCAUCUACAAUGAUAGAUUCUAUGGGAGUUUCUAGGCAGAAGCAUCAUGGGUUUGUCACCGAAUCCAGUAGGAUAAUUUUUACUUGCUGAUACCUUGAAAGCUUCUUCAAAUCAAUAUAGUCCCAGUACGCAAGAAACACUUCGAACACAACUGAAAAUACUGGCUUAGGAAAUUUGGCCAUAAAGGGAUAAACAGGCUAGAAAUACAACUCGUGAGACUAACAUACAGUUUCUUUAGUCUUUGCUAUUCAAAUUCUACCUCCUACCAGCAUGUAUUAGAAAUCUUCAUUUUUGGAAGGGAUCUGAUAACUGUUCUUGUCUUUAUUGUAAACCUAGGAUUUUCCACUGGACAAUGUGUUGGUUCCACACAGGUAUGUUGAAUUGAAGCAAUUUGUUCCUGAUUCUUUGGAUACUGAUUCACAGAUAUAUUUAGAAACACAGGAAGUCACAAUGUUAAAGGUUUUCCUACAGUGCUAGAAAAGUCUGAAAGAUCUUUCACCUUCAGGAUGCUUUAAUAUUCACCCACCAUGUGGAUCCAACCACAGUAUAUUUAAGAUUAGAUUUAUAUUUAGGUGUUGCUGCAGUAUAUUCAUAGGAUUAGAUGAACCCUGGCCUCAGAAUUAUGACAUAUACAAGGAACAGGACUUGGUCCCACCAGCUUCUGACUACGAGUUCAGCUCUGCAUCAUUUGCCAAAUUAAUUAUUUUCUCAACACAGAUUGGACAAUGAAUAGAUGUUAAUCUUAAAGCUGAAUCCUUACCUCUGGGGUGAGGUAUUUACUGAUCAUUUCUUGUCCUUUUUCCUCACGUUUUUCAUCUGGCAUAACUUCAUACUCCGCCUGGAAAGAAAUGGUAAGAGAUUAUAAAUCAUUGAAAGCUAUUGUUGACAGGAAGUCCAAAAACACAAAAUGGCCCAUUCUGAAGAUUCAACUUCGAACUGUAAACCACUGAUUAUUGAGACCUUCAUUUUUCUUUGAAAUAGGAUUUCAAAAAUACCAUUACAUACAUGUGACAUUUCAUUUGGCACAGAAGUUAUAACAAUCUUCAUAACUGAGAUGCAAUUCAAGAUGAAGCAUGAUGCAACAUGAUUAGAGUUAAUGCGCUCUGUUCAGAAGACCAUUAGGGAUAAUUUCAGGACUUUGGUCCUUGGUUAUGAGAAAAGGUCACACAACUGAACUGUUUAUUGGAAAAACAGAUAAAAUGGAAACAUGAUUCAAUUUAUUAAUAAUGUAAAACUGGAUCAUGCAUCAAGUUACUUAACUGAGAUAGUGAGCAGCGAAUGAAAAUAAAUCCUGACUGGAUUGAAUACGCAAUCAGGAGAAAAGAAAAAUUACGACAUUCAAAGUGACAGUCUUGGUUGCUACCUGUGCUUUACUCUGCAAUGAUUACUACAUGCUUUAUCCAAAUACAACCAGUUGAAAUAUGCUGGUGGUUGAAGUUUUACAAUUUGAGUACACAUUUUAUGAAAAGUGCAUGCAUCCAUAAGCUCUACUGAUAUCAAAGUGACAGCACAGAUAAUUCAUACGAAAUCCAUCAUCACAUUGUUCAGUCUGUUCUAAAGCAAUCUGCCCACGUAGCCUAAAGUUGAUCCGACUGUCUUAAAAGAUUAACACAUUUUUCAUAAAAUCUAAUUAUAACAAAAGACAAUUGACAGCACAUGCCAUAUCCACUACACUGUGCCAACUGUAAUACUGCCAAAAAGUAGCAUUGUUCUCUCAGCAUCUGUUGCUUAUUUUCAGUAAUUACUUUUACAGUCCUUAUUAAAAUAUGUGCUUUACUCCAUUAGAAUUUGCUAUGGCCUUGUAGAUAACUACCAACAAAAAUGUACGAAUUAAGAAUGUCUUAUUCAAAAUUAUUAAUGUUUUAAGUUUGGAGUUAAAUUUCAACUUCAGCAAACACACAACUGGGGAUAGUUCAGCUUUUAGUCUUCCUUUCCAUUGAACCACAGCUCAUUUUCGUCCCAUAUGGAAAUUCAAUUCCAAUUCCAUUAUAGUGGAGAAAUUCCAUGAACAAGCAGGUAUAAUUUGACUUGAGACAUCCUUCAAACUUAAAUUUUGUUCGCCUAGGGAUAACUCAUAAGUUUUUGGUAGGAGAUAAUGAACGGAGUUGUUGGUUUGGCCAUUCAGUUGUCAAUUGGACACGGUAUAUAACCAGUGGCUGACCCACCAACACCAUUUUAAAACCUUACCAAAGUGAAAGUGACCUUGCAAUAGUAUAUCUUUCUUUUCGCUGGCUAGGUUGAGGGUUGGCAGUGAGGGAGAGGAAAAUCUCACGCGUUAUAUUGGUCCAAAAUCACUUGGUUUAAGCCAACACCAAAAGCUCCACCCUUCAUUUCUAUUUGCAUUUGGAGUUUAAACUGCAUUUACUUUGAGCACCAUUUUGAGAUAGGCUGAAUUUUCAAUAAUAAUUGCUGUAAAGUUCGGCACAGCAAUCACAGCAUCUGAGGUACUCAUGAAAAACAUCAAAGACCUCAUCUGAUGCAUACCAAGCACUUAAUGAGGGAAAAAAACAGACAAAUGUGGAUACAAGUUUAGACAAACCAAACAUUUAUUUGGGUGAAACUUGGCGAAGUGAACACACUACACUUGCUGAAAAUAUGCUGAAGAGGUUAACUUUUUGAAAAAUUAAUUUUUGAUUUGCCCCGUGAGUAGCAACAAAGAGGGACUGAUCAACUGUUUAUUUGCUUAUUAACUUUUCAGACAGCGUGCAGGGCCAAUCAGAUUCUAAAAAAGUGAGAAAAUAAUGGCUUAGGUCAAAUAGAGUCCAGAGGUUGAAAAACAUUUCCCUCGACGCAAAACUGAUUGUUCCCAGCUUUGUUACAGCCAAUGAAACUAGAGAUUACAUGAUAAAAGAGGUUUGCUACUGGAUGCUUAUCCAUAUUGCCAACAUGCUGAGAUGCUCAAAUUUCAAAUUACUGACUCAUCAUCCCUCAGAAGAAAUCUUAUGAGAUAAAUCAUCACAGGGAUCAUCUUUACUGAGAAAAUGUUCAGGCAUAUUGCUAAAAUUAUUUGCUACAUACAUUAAAAAAAAGAAGAUCCUUCUGAUAGAGCAACUGGAAAAGGAGAUCUUUAUCAUAUUAGAACUUUAUUUCCAUGAGGUUAUUGGCAUUGACAAUAUGGGAACAAAAUAAGCAGGAAAGGAAACACUGGAAUGUUUCCAAGGACCUGUUCCAGUGUCCCUCGGAUGAACAGAAUUUAGUGGCACAGACAAGAACAAAAGGGAAGGCAUUAACUUAUUAAAAUCCUUCAAGUUUAUUUCAUAUGAUGAGAGAUUUUUAAAUUGACUAACUAACUAACAUUGAAACAGUAGUUUCACUUAAACAACAAAAGUAAAUUAUAGUACUGUGAAUAAUUGUUGACUUACCAAUAUGAUCCACAAGUAAUCAAUGAGUUAUCAUUACCAAAUUACACUAUUCCUUUUAUUAGCUCUAACACUUUGUUGUCACUCUUCUUUCUGUCUUACACAUCCAUCACUUUUCACCUUCCAUGUGUUUUUUUUCAAAGCUGGAAACAAUUCCAUAACUUUCCAGGGGUACCACUUUACAGCAACAUGGUCAACAGAAUUUUUCUCAGCCGUGAUUUGAAGACCAUUUCUCUACAGUUCAAUCAUUCAUUGUAGUGAAUGUGCCAAGAGAUGUUUCAAGAUGAUGUAAUAAGGAGCUACGCAAAAAUAAAAAAAUCUUUCUUCGCCUUACAGCCCAUUACAGAAAGGCAGACAAGAAACAAAGUCUUGCAUUUAUAUAGUGCCUCUCAAAACCUCUAUAUCCUAAAGCAUUUUAUAACCAACCAAGUAUUUUCAAAGGUUUGUCACUGUUGUCACUCAGAAAAUGCAAUUUGUGCACAGGAAGCUCCCACAAACUGCAAUGCGAUAUUGACCAGGAAAUUUGUUUCUCUCUGGUUUAUUUGAGGGAUGAACAUUGGCCUCAAUACCAUCGAUAACUCAAUACCAUCGAUAACUUAGCUUCUCAUCUUCACAAUGCUGCCAAGGGAUUUUUUAUAUGCAUUGAGGGGACAUGUAGUGCUUUUGGUUUCAUGCUUGGGUGUAAGGAUGGCAGCAGCGCAGUAAGCAGCGUCCUGGCCUUUCCCCUUUGUCUGCUUUUUCUUUUCUUUAUUUUCCCCCCUUCUUCUUUUCAGUUUUUUGUUUUGUUUUCGCUUAUAGUUACCUUUUAAAGACAGCUCUUUUGGUAGAAAGGCGGUUUCGACGGGGUCCGGAGAGGUGACGUAUUCAGAGGCAGUGUGGCCAAAGUGUCAGCCGGCUUGUGGAGCCUGAGGCAACACUCUUGCCUUGGCAUGGAUGGCGCUGGUGAAGUCUGCAGCAGGACCCUGUGGCAGAGUGGAGUGGCCUGGUGAAGUCCGGAGUGGCAUCUGGCAGCAGCAUGGCAUGGGCUGGUGAAGCCCAGAGUAGGACUGUAGCGGCGGCGAAGGCAAAGUUGGACUCUCUUUAAGUUAUCUUUUCUUUUUUUUUAUUUUAAAUUAAUGAGAACAUUGCCAAUGCAUGGCGACUGUAUCAACUUUUCACUGUAUUUUGUAUUGAAUACACUUGACAA